GGAAUGAGCGGCGGACGGGUGAGUAACACGUGGGCAACCUGCCUGUAAGACUGGGAUAACUUCGGGAAACCGGAGCUAAUACCGGAUAGUAUUUCCUUUCUCCUGAUUGGAAAUGGAAAGACGGUUUCGGCUGUCACUUACAGAUGGGCCCGCGGUGCAUUAGCUAGUUGGUGGGGUAAUGGCCCACCAAGGCGACGAUGCAUAGCCGACCUGAGAGGGUGAUCGGCCACACUGGGACUGAGACACGGCCCAGACUCCUACGGGAGGCAGCAGUAGGGAAUCUUCCGCAAUGGACGAAAGUCUGACGGAGCAACGCCGCGUGAGCGAUGAAGGCCUUCGGGUCGUAAAGCUCUGUUGUUAGGGAAGAACAAGUACGAGAGUAACUGCUCGUACCUUGACGGUACCUAACCAGAAAGCCCCGGCUAACUACGUGCCAGCAGCCGCGGUAAUACGUAGGGGGCAAGCGUUGUCCGGAAUUAUUGGGCGUAAAGGGCUCGUAGGCGGUUUCUUAAGUCUGAUGUGAAAGCCCACAGCUCAACUGUGGAGGGUCAUUGGAAACU
rnacentral:rRNA from 1 species